AAUGAGAUUUCAGAGUAGGGAUUUAUUUACUGUAUUUGGUAACUUAACCUCCAUAAUAAUGUAGAAAUGCAGAUUUCUUCUCAGAAAGCCCCGCUAGAACCAUUUUAAAGUCUCCCAAGUCACAAAAAGCCCAUGAAUUUCUCCUGGAAACAUUUGCUCUGAGGAGCAGUUGAGGAAAACACUGACUUCACCAGGUUCCUUCUGCCCUUGGAAGCACCCAGAGCUUGGAUGUAGAUGUGUAAGCAUUGAGUAAAUGCAUCAACUUGAUUUUAAUAUGCUUUAGAUUAUUAUUAAAGCUUACAGGAGACCAGCAGUAAGUUUUUGAGCCUCUUCUAGCAGCCUGUGCCACACUGAAAUAAACACAUUUAAUAUCUGUACGUUACAUUAUUCCAUCAUUUCAUGCUGUAUGAGUCUUACUGAUAUUUACCCUGUGGCUGAUAAUAAAAAUAGGUGUUUUUUUUUUUUCUUUUGGCCAGUAUGUUCUUGCCCCAUCCUCUCCAGCUCACUGGGUUUACUGGUGCACCAGAAACCUCAACUGCAUUAAAGUUUUCCGAGUUCCAUGAGGGAAUCACUUGUGAUCCACUUAGUCUCAAGUGACUUAUUUAUUUUGGCCGGGGUACAUCUGUAGUUUAUCACCCAGUUCUGUCCAUCCCCAUCCCCUCCCCACCCUGCAGCUCAAUAAAUGUCUCAUUUAAACUGCUCCAGACACUUGUAAAACAAAAAAGUGUGGGUAUUUUAAGGAAUGAUUAACACAGAGCCAACUUUCCUGACUAGGGACAGUGACCAUUUUGCAGACACCCUUCCACUGGAUGGCUUCUUAUGGCUCUGUUCCCUCCAAGGCUUAAAUUCAUAUGCCACUUUAUAUAGAAGAUUAAACUGAGCUCUUUACAUAGUUUUGUCAUGAAGUUACAUGAACUCAUUCUUUUCUCUGUUACGUUUUUUCGAAGGGCAGCCCAUGACACAAACCUGGCUCUGGGAAAGCAACUCAAGAGGGCACUUACCUCAAAAUGAAACAAAAAACUCCAGCCUGACAGUGAUUUCUUUCCCAUCAUUGCAGGCAAGGACAAUGCUGAUGAGAAAUUGUACCUGUGACUGUUCCAGGAAAGCUUCCCAGCAGCGCUCCAGCCACACCACCACGGCCAGAUGCUGCUGGAUUUCCUGAGCUGCAAUAUCCUGAGUAUGGCUCACUGUUCUUCAGGAAACUCGUUUGGAUGAGCUUGGUGAUCAAGGUGAGUGUAAUCUUUGAUUUGGAGGAGGGAUUUUACAGGAGGAAUAAGAAGAUGGGCUGAUGACAUCAAACAAACUACCCAGCUGGUCCCAUCUGAUGAUCUUGGUGGGGCACCUGUGUCUCUCAGCCCAUUUUAGGGCAGCACCAGCCCUCUUUCCUCUCUCUCCUGGUUUCCUGAGGGCUCUGUGCUGCUCUGCUCCCUGAUGUCCCAGCACUCUGUGUUUCCUGGGAGUGGAAGAUGGACUCAAGCACAAGAGUUACAAUAGAAAACAACAGGAGCAGAAUAAUAAAG